rnacentral:rRNA from 1 species
CCUACGGGUGGCAGCAGUGGGGGAUAUUGCACAAUGGGCGAAAGCCUGAUGCAGCGACGCCGCGUGAGGGAAGACGGUCUUCGGAUUGUAAACCUCUGUCUUUGGGGAAGAAGAUGACGGUACCCAAAGAGGAAGCAUCGGCUAACUCCGUGCCAGCAGCCGCGGUAAUACGGAGGAUGCGAGCGUUAUCCGGAUUUAUUGGGUUUAAAGGGUGCGCAGGAGGAUUUUUAAGUCAGCGGUCAAAUCGUGGGGCUCAACCCCAUCCAGCCGUUGAAACUGGGGAUCUAGAGUGUGCGAGAGGUAGGCGGAAUGCGUGGUGUAGCGGUGAAAUGCGUAGAUAGCAGGAGGAAUACCGAUAGCGAAGGCGGCAAUCUGGCUGGAAACUGACGCUGAGGUGCGAAAGCGUGGGUAGCAAACAGGAUUAGAUACCCUUGUAGUC